UACGGAGGGUGCAAGCGUUAUCCGGAUUCACUGGGUUUAAAGGGUGCGUAGGAGGGCAGGUAAGUCAGUGGUGAAAUCUUCGAGCUUAACUCGGAAACUGCCGUUGAUACUAUCUGUCUUGAAUACCGUGGAGGUGAGCGGAAUAUGUCAUGUAGCGGUGAAAUGCUUAGAUAUGACAUAGAACACCAAUUGCGAAGGCAGCUCGCUACACGAAUAUUGACUCUGAGGCACGAAAGCGUGGGGAUCAAACAGGAUUGAGAU
rnacentral:rRNA from 1 species